UAAACUAAAAUUUGUAUGAAGCUGGAACAUCUGCCCACGUUUACGGCUAGAAGCGCUAUUCCAACUGCAUACAAAUUUUAGUUA
rfam:Bombyx mori DNA, contig: Bm_scaf91_contig34449, strain: p50T/Dazao, build 2, whole genome shotgun sequence.